GUGCCAGCAGCCGCGGUAAUACCGGCAGCCCGAGUGAUGGCCGAUCUUAUUGGGCCUAAAGCGUCCGUAGCCGGCCAAACAAGUCCGUUGGGAAAUCGACGUGCUCAACACGUCGGCGUCCGGCGGAAACUGCUUGGCUUGGGGCCAGAAGAUCUGAGGGGUACGUCCGGGGUAGGAGUGAAAUCCUGUAAUCCUGGACGGACCACCGGUGGCGAAAGCGCCUCAGAAAGAUGGACCCGACGGUGAGGGACGAAAGCUAGGGUCUCGAACCGGAUUAGAUACCCCAGUAGUCC
rnacentral:rRNA from 1 species